AGCCCCUCAGCUGCAGAGCCGUCAACCCUGUGUAGGCAGCUGUCAGCUGUCAACUCUGGCUUUCCUGAAAAGACCUCCUGCCAAGAAAUGUGUCAUAGGGGAAAGAAGGAACGCGAAGACAACUGGGCUACUGGAGACCUGGAGUAAGUCAGACGUGAGUUUGAAUUCUAAUUUCCUCAUCCACAAAGUGUUCAACAUAAAUGUUCCUUCUUCCUGGGAGUCAGUAAGGUAACAGAGUGCAGGGCUGGGCACAUGGAAGUGCCAGCCAUAUGGGACCUGCUGUUCCCAGGGGUGUCUGAGCAGGGCUGAGGUUGAUGCCUCCAGUCCUGUACCUCUCAAACCUCCUGGGGCAGUUUCCAGGCACAGGGCAGAGCUGUCUCCACUGAUAUCCAAGGAUGCUGCAAGAAGCAGAGGCUGGGGGAGGGAGCUGGGGCUUCACAGGAGAAGUUGCACACCUAAAAUAAGCCCAGGCAGGAGACUCUGGGAAUUUCCUGUAAUUUUCACUGUAAAUGUCCUAUUUAUAAAGCUGAGUCACUGUUGUUUGGUGCAUGGAGACAGGCCCUAGCAGGAAAUGAGGAGCACACACAGAGACACAGUCUAACCCCACAGGCUUUGGGGAAUGCCUGGGCCUGGCCUGGGCCUGGCCUGGGCCUGGAUUGGGCCUGGCUGCUCGGCCCCUGGAAGCCCUUGACAAGCCCUUUGGUUGGGUUACUGGACCAAGUUAAUUUAUUUCAUCCCUCAUUGGCCCUUUUUCUGUCUUCUUUGCUUCCAAAAUAGUUUCUCUGUCUCCCUCUCUCCUUCUCCCCUAUCCCUCACUCUCAUUCUCUCCCCUUCUCUCCCUCCUCUCCUCUCUUUCUCCCUCCUGUAUAUUAACAAGGAGAGUCUGGCCUCUUCAAGAGUUUCAUGCAGGCGGUGACAGGCCUGUCUCUGUGGGAGACCUAGGGGGCCAGGCACCUAGUGGGAUGAAGGGCAUCUGUUUCCUUGUAAAAACAGAUCUGUCUGGAUGUCUCUGCUCAUCCCAGUCUCCACAAAAAAGCAAUUUCUCCUGGAGAUUCUGGGACAGUAUUACAGGCAGUUAAGGGGCAAAAGGGGAGCAGAAGUCAGCAAAGUACAACCACAACCGGUGUGUUUGGCAUUUUACCCAGAGCAAGCUCUUGAAGGGUGGACAGGGAGGCAACACAAAACCCUCCUCACUUCCUGAUUUUACAGCCACUCAGCCAGCCACUGAAAUCAGGUUCACCAAUCAGGGCUGUUAAACCACAUCCUGCCUCCAGUGCCCCCAGAGUAUUGUGCCGGGCAGAGGGCAGCCCAGUUCAUCUCUCAGCAGUGCAGAGAAGUUUCCAAACUACUUAGCUAUAGCUUUUCAUUAAACAAGCCGGCUGCUGAGUAGUAUAUUCCCAGUGCUGCUGACAUGCCUCAACAAAUUUCUUUGGGACCAUGCUUAGGGACCCAGCUCUGUGUGCCCUUUGAGUUCAGCUUUGACUUCCAGGAGCUCUGGAAUGUGGGAGGUUGGGACUCUGAGAAGUUCUUGGGCUCUGGCAGCUUUGGGUGUCAUGGUCAUAGCAGUGCCAUGACUCCUGAUGGGCUGGGAGUCCAUUAACUGGUCAGCAUGGGCAGGGGAUCUUCAGUGCUCAAGUCUGUCUCCAGGGCUAGAGCUCCUCUCUCCUGUCCCAUAUUAGGAGGCCAAAGGUCCAGGUCUUCUUUGGGUCUGUCAGUCCAGCCACUCUUCUGGAACCUAAGGCCCUUUUUCUGUCUACUGUCCCUGAUUCUUCUUGGCCCCAUACUGACCACUGACUUGGGCAAAAGCCUCUUCAGUUCCUAUUCCUUUUUCUUUUCUCCAUCUUCUUCUUCCUUUCUAUAUCCCUUCCCCUCUUUUUGUACCCCCUCCCCCUUAACAGAACUUUAGGCUACCUUUUCUCCAUCUGGUGGCCUGAGAGAAAAUCCCUGAAGCUAUGGGAGCCCAGAACAUUAGCAUCUCAGGGGCCCAGGCAUUUCCACUCCUUCCCAGGGAGUCACACUUCCCUCAUCCCCACCACCCACGGGUCGCAGAGACUAAAGAGGCAGGGUUUGCUUCUUACUGUAGUAGCAGAAAACCAAAAUGUCCACCAACUCAGAGAUAACAAAGAUUCAAGCAUAUUAGAGCCAGUUAGAUUCUGCAAGCUUUCCAGACACAAGACCGACCUGCAAAAAUCAACAGCAUCUCUCUCCACCCACAGUAGUGCUAGAAAUUAUUACUACAAAGAUAUCAUUCACAAUAGCAACAAGAAUUACAAAAUAUGUAGGCAUUAACCCAGAAUACACAAAACUUCUGAACACAUUUUUUUAAGCUCUAAUAAGGAAACAGAAAAUGAUCUGAAUAAAUAGAGCACAUUCCAUGCUUUUAGAUUGGGCAACCUCUUAUAAGAUGACAUAUUGGAUAGCUUUAUAAAGACCUAAUUAUAUUAACAAUUAACCUUUAAACUCAUUACAAUGCCAAUCAAAAUUCCAGUUGGAUUUCUUUUUGAGGGACUAAAUAAAUAAACUUUUAAAAAGAAGAGUAAAGGGAUGAAUUCCCCAGUCAAAUAUAUUACAAAACCACAAUAGCAACAGUGUGGCACUGGCAUAGCUACAGUCUAAUAGACCAGUGGGACAGAACAGAAGGCUCAGCAACCCAGCCGUGAACUGUGUAUAUUCAAGCACGUGUCACUUAAUGGCGGGGAUGUCUUCUGAUAAAUGCAUCCUUAGGCAGCUUUGCCAUUGUAUGAACACAUGGAGUGUACUUACACAAACCUGGUUGGUAAGGGUCCAUCACUUGAUAUGGCCUCUUGAUACACUCCAAUCCAGAAACACAGUAAAAGUGGGGAUGUAGCUCAGCAGUAAAGCAUUUCCCUAGCAUGCACAGGACCCUGGGUUUAAUUCCCAGCACUAUUUUAAAAGAAAAACAAAACAAAACACAGUAAAUACCAAGUUUAUGAGGGUACUGUUGGUGUAACAGGGCAUUUUAUUUUACAGUAAUUUAAAAAUAUAUAAGUACAAAGACUACACUCCAAACUAAUGAUAAAAAGUAUAGCAUGGCAAAAAAUAUAAACCAGUAACAGUCUUUAUUAUCAUUAGCAAGUGCUAGGUACUGUCCAUAAUCAUCUGUGCUAUGCUUUCAUACAACUGGCAGUGUAAUAAGUUUGCUUACACCAGCAUCACCACAAACAUAUGAUGGUGUGUUAUACUACAGUUUUAUGAUGAUCCACAGUUGGUGAUAAGAAUUUUUCAGCUCUGUUAAUUAUCUUAUGUAAUCGCUGUCAUAUAUUGGUCUGACAUUGAUCAAAAUGCUCCUAGGCAGCACCUAUCUAUACAUAGAGAGAGCAUUCAAUAAACAAAUUCUAGCCAGAUGCAGUAGUGCUCACCUGUAAUCUCAGCUACUCACCAGUCUGAAGCAGGGGGAUUGCAAGUUUAAGGUCAGCUGGGGCAAUUUAGCAAGACCCCGUCUAAAACUAAAAAAUAAAAGGGUCUGGGAUGUAGCUCAGUGGUACAGCACUUGUCUAGCAUGCAUGAGCCCCUGAAUUCAAUCCCCAGUGACACACACACACACACACACACACACACAAAACACAGCUUCUCUAUGAGUUAAACCAUCAGUUAAGGUUUUGUUGGGAUAGUCUGCUAUGUUGCUAUCUUUGUAACUAGUAUACCUAAGGCACAUACCAAAAUAUGUGCCUUGGAUCCCAGUUUGACUUAGAAAGAACUACCUAAAACAGACCGUGGAGAGAACAGUACUCAAUGUUCUAUUGGUUUGACUUUCUGGAGAUGCCCCCUGAAAGUCAGAAGCAACAAUACCUCCCUGUGGUCUGUGCACAAGACUCCAAGGCUUCUCUUUCUCCCCGCAGGAAACUAGCUCAUUAGCUAACGUGCACAUGAGUUCCAAUAGCCAGAACAGCUGAAGGAGACAGACUUGAGCUGAGACAAAAAGAGAGAGUCCAUUCUGGCCAAACAGGCCUUUUCUGAGUAUCCAGCAAUGCUAGAGAAUGAAUGUUUGUGUCGGUGGCCCACCCCCCAAAUUCACAUGUUGAAAUCCCAACCCUGCAGAGUGAUGGUGUUAAAAAGGAGGCCAGUGGGAGGUGAUGGGGUCACAAGGGUAAAGCACUCCUGAAUGCGGUUGGUGCCCUUUUUAAAAAAAGGCCCUUGAGAGAGACCUUGCCCUGUCUAUUACAUGAGGAUGCAGUAAGAAGGUGCCACCAUGACUGGAAGCAGGUCCUCACCAGACAUUCAAUCUUCCAGCACUUUGGUCUUGUACUUCCUAGCCCCAAAACUGUGAGAAAUAAAAUUCUGCUGUUUUAAACUACCCAGUCUAUGGUAUCUUGUUAUAGUAACUUGAAUGUACUAGGACCAGCAACUUUUGCCUCAAUUAAUUCCACGAAGAUGUUCAGCUCUCCUGAAUUCCUAAAAGCACAAAGAAUUUUAACAAAACAAGGGUUGCUAGGGUUAGGGUCAGGGUCAGGGUUAGCAUUAGGGUUAGACAACUAUAAAAAUUUUAACAAAACCAUAAAAAUCAAAUCUCAUGGAUUUUGCUUCCACUCUCUUUACCGCCUAGUCACUCAUUUAGCUUUUCCAUAAGGAAACCUUCCUUCCUCUUGUUUUAGACUGGAUUAGUCUGGCUUGUGCUGCCAGGAAAGGACCCAUUCAGAACAGUGCCAUGUGUUAAAUGCCCCUUUGGUGAGCGUUUGCCGGAGCAUCUCAUGGGCAACACCAAGGGAAUAAUAACAUGAACAAGCCUACACAUCACCAGACUAUAAAAUUCAUUAAAAUAUUGAAGGGUUUGAAGACUUAAUGACCCAGCAAAGAUGGAAAGUACGUUUCAAUGCAGAUCUCAGUCAUUAAAAAUGCAUUUGGUACGCCACAUUUGCCUACUCUGAAAAUGAAGAAAAGUGCAUUUAGGGCAAGACUGCCACAGCCCCCCAAGAGGAUGGGUUAGGAAAAGGGAGCGACACUCCUCAUUGGGUACCCAGUGAGGCAAAAGCUCCAAGGUGGUCAGAUAGCCUGUGUGAGGGCUGGUGGCACUAUCACCGUUCAAACCUGCAGCCAAUCCACCACUCUGGAGACUUCUGAACUGUGGGAGAGGCAGAAAGUAUUUUCUGAGAGAAAUGCCCCUCACAGGGGAAGAUUCCAGAAGGAGUCUGGCUUGCCAGAAACAGCAAGGGGUAAGGCAACUGGAGAAAAAUAUAUGGAAAGAAACUUAAAGAGGCUAAAGGACUCCCCUUCUGAAUACAUGCUGCUUCUUUCUUCAUAGGUCUUCGCUACUUUAUGCAUGGUCAGGAUUGCCAUAACGAGGGGCUGCAGACGGGCUGGCCUAAACAGUGGAGAUUUAUUUCUUAGUUUUGGAGGCCUAUAGUGCGAGAUCCAGGUGUUGCAGGGUUAGUUUCUUCUGAGGGCUGUGAAGAAUGUGUCCCAGGCAUCUCUCUUUGGCCUAUAAAUGGUCAUCUUACCCCUGUGUUUUUACAUGGUUUUCUCUCUGUACAUGUCUGUGUCCUUAUUUCCUCUCCUUAUAAGGACACCAGACAGAAUGGAUUAGAGCCCACUCUGAAUGAGCUCUAUGAAGAACCUGUCUCCAAAUACAGUCACACUCUGAAGUAUUGGGGGCUAGGACUUCAGCAUAUGUAUUUGGAGAGGUGGGACAGAGUUCAACCCUUAAUGGUUACUAAAUGAGCAUAAUACAUCUGAAAGGAAUGUUUGUGGGGGGUGGGGUUAUUUCAUUGUACAGAGAAAAUUAAAAUUUCAAAGUGUAUGAAGUGCUAGGGCUUUUCUGAGUAGUUUGCGCAAUUGAAAGUCCAACUCACAAAAUCUCCUGUUGACCCACCACCUGGACUGUAAGGUGGCAAAGGCAGGGCUGCCAACCAUGAGUCAGUUAUUGUGAUCUUGAAGAAAUGACAUAACCCUUCCAAGUCUCACUUUUCUCACUUGUAAACCAAAGGAAUUUAGUUGGUGAGUUGAAUUUCCUGAUUGGCACUCCAGCCUCCUGUGGGCUUCCCUGUAUAACAGAGGAAGAAAGCUUAAAAACUAUGUUUUCUAGAUCCCUUUGCAGCUAGAAUUCUUGUUAUGAAUUAAAUCCCCUAAUAAGACACACUGGCAUGAAACUUGGAGGACAAGCAUGAAGCAGACAACAUCUUCCUGUUGCUGUGUCUGCUGCCAAGGCUGGUCAGUAGUGUGGGGAAGAGGCUGUGGAGGCUGGAGUUAGCAUUCUGGUCUCACAAGCAGGAUGAGGGUCUUGAGAGCAGUUAUGGUAAAGGGAGCAUCAUCAGUGGAGUACCCAGGAAUCCUCCCAACAAAAUAUAUGUAGGCCAGCAAAAAUACAAAAAAUACACGCAGGCAUGUUCACUAUACACUGCUCUCACAGCAAAAGACCACAACAUCCUAACUGUCCAUCAAUGGUGAACUGGUUAAAUACACUGUGGUAUGUCCACACACACAGUGGAGUGCCCGAGAGCUCUCUAAAAGAAUAGAAGACUAUUUUCUUGUGCUGCUAGGGGGUGAUCUCAAGACAUUUAAUUAGGGGCAAAAAGCAAAGUGGAGGCAAAGACACAAAGUACCUUGCUGUUUAAGAAGGGGGAUAUGUAUGUAUAUUUAAAAGAAAACUAUCUUUUUUUUUUUUUUUUUUUUGUAUCAGGGAUUCAACCCAGGGGUAUUCAACCACUGAGCCACAUCCCCAGCCAUUUUUAUUUUUUGAGACAGGGUCUUGCUAAGUUGCUUAGGCCUUCACUAAAUUGGUGAGGCUGGCCUUGAACUUAUGAUCCUCCUGCCUCAGCCUUCUAAGUCACUGGGAUUAUAGGCAUGUGCCACUACUGUUGGUUUAAAAGAAAUCUUGAAGAAUAAACAAACCAAAAAGAGGUGCUCCUAUGACAUCACUUUUUGGUAAAAGUAGAGUGACUAAGAUGUCAGGUCCCAAACUCUGGCAGUGAAACUAGAAACAAAGGGACUGACUCUACUUCUCCUUCCCACUUUCUCCUGCCCAGUGCAGAAAGGAAAAAAGGAGAAGACAGAUGGUUGGGGAAGAUGGGGAAGGGACAUUAAGAUUUACUGAGCAUCUGCCAUUUAAAUCAUGCAGGCUAGGUACUUUAGAUGCAUUUUUUCUCCUUUAAUCUUUUAUAGCUUUGCCUUGAGGUAGGUAUUUUUAUGAUCUCUAUUUUAUAGAUAAAUAAAAACAAGAAGAAGGUAAGCAACUUGAUCAAAUUCAUAAAGCUUGUAUAGCAGGGGACAUUUAUCUAUGGGGGUUAUGUUCCAAGACCCACAUUGGAUGCCUAAAAACUCAGUUUGUAUCAAACCCUGUGGUUUAAUGACUUGCCAUCUUAAAUAAGCAUAUUUUUUUGCACACUUGCAUUUUGAGGCACAGCAGCAAAAUGCAUGAAUUUUUUACAUUUUUUCACAAAUAGAUGGUUCUUUCUUCCUGUAGAUUUUAGCAAGUUCGGCAUACCAUCCUUUAAUUUCCUUAUUAAAUGGAGAUCUUUUACCUUUUCACUUAAAGGAAGCAUUCAUGGCUUUGGGGUCCUUAUUAAGCAAGACAAGUUUACUUGAACAUAAGCACCUUGAUACAGGGACAAAGGAUCUGAUGGUUGAGACAGCUACUGGGUGAGUAACAAGAGGGAAGCAUAUAUAACAUAUAUAUCACUGGACAAAGGGAAGAUUCAUGACCUGAGUGGAACCACAUAAGAUUUCAUCAUGUCACUCAGAGGCACACAAUUUAAAACUUAUGCACUGUUUAUUUAUGGAAUUUCCCAUUUAUUAUUUUCAAACUACAACUUGACUAUAGGUAACUGAGAUCAUGGAGAGUGACAUCAAAGAUAAGGAAGGACUGUUGUCAAGUGCCAGAACAGAGCUUUGCACCCUGGCCUAGCAUCACAGGACCCCAGCUCUAUAUCAUUGUCUUGCUGGGCUCCCAGAUUGACCUCUUAGGCAGUGGGAGGUUCAAGUGCCUCCGUAGGAUCCUAGUUUCUGUUGUCUUUACACCACUCUUGGAUGAAGCCCUCAGGCCUGGGUAUAAGAGAUGGGCCCCAAGCCAGGGAAUCUUCUUGCCUGCCAGUUUACACAGCCAGCUGGAGAGAGAGGAGAAAAGAGAGAGUGCCUAUAAGCCACUGGAUUUUCAUUUGAUUCCAGGUCCCCUCUUUCUCAGAAAUUCUCCUUUAACUAGUAUGUGGUGCAGCCUUGGCAUGGGAGUGACCCUAAUGCACAGCAGAGUUUGAGAAUCACCAUUCUUGCUGUUUCUGAGUGUUGUUGGGUGGUACUAAUGACAUCACAUGGGAGCUUGUUGGAAAUGAGGAAUAUCUUGCCCCACCCAAAACCUACUGAAUCAGCAACUUGGAGGUGGGGGUGAAGAGAAGGGAGCCAGCAUUUCUUACAUGAUUCUGCUGCAUCCUACAGUUUGAGAAUCUCUGCUCUAAACAAAAAACUAAAGAGAUCAUCACCUGCCAUGGUUUGAUUUGUCAAUGGUCACGUACUGUGAUGUUGAUUACAAAGGUAAAUUUGAUGGACCCAGGGAAUGAGACUGUCCAUGUGUGUCCCCUAAGAAUUAAAUCUUUAGGCUCAUGAGAAAGUGUUUAAUUAUAAUUUGGGAUCAAAUGGAAUUCACUGCAGCACCUGAGAAGGGGAGCGGCCUUAUAAAACUAUGAUGAUACAACUCAGCAGCUGUGUGCCAGGAGCUGCUUCAGAAAGUCUGCUGGCCCAGGGAGAACAUGGUCCUUGAGGACAGGAAGGCAGAGUGAACAGCUGAGGGGACUCAGCAAUCUCUUUAGUCAAGGCUUCUCACCUUGGAUGGUAUAUUGGUCUCUUUGGACUCUCUGCCAUCCGGCCAUCCAUUCUCUCACAGCUUAGAAGAUCAAAGUCUGAAAUCGAGGUAGAUGCAGGGUUGCUUCUUCUGAAGGGUCUGAGGGAGAAUCAGCUCCCCACCUCUCUCCCAGCUUCCCUGGGCUUAUAGGGAUAUCACUCCAAUAUCUGCCUCCAUCUUCACAUGGCCUUCUCCAUGGAGUCAGUAGAGUAGAGCAAAAGGACCAGAGGGAGGAAAGAGGGGAGAGAAAGGGGAAGUUCUGGGGAAUGAUACUGGCCAAAUUCUAUUCUUAUAUUGUGUGCAUGUGUGAAUAUGUAAUAAGAGAUCCCACCAUUUUGUACAACUAUAAUGCACCAAUGGAAAAAAUAAGGAAAAAAAGUUCCUUGUCUUUUCUUUUAGAAGGACAGUAUUGUCCAACCUAAAUCCAGGAUGGUGUUAUUUUGAGAUUGUAAUGACAUCUGCCAAGAUCCUAUUUCCAAAUAAGAUCACAUUCACAGGUCCUAACUGGGGGUUAAAACUUGGAUGUUAUCUUUUUUACUUCAGAUGGGGAAUAAAUUUCAUUUUCUUCAACUGCCUGUCUUAAUGUUAAUUCUGAGCAAAGGAAUUACUGAAAGUAACUUUGAUUCUUUCAGGGCAAACGUGGAUGGGCUUGGAGUAUAGUACUAAUGACUGUCUUCACAGAAAUCCGUGUUAUAUAAAGUGCUUUGUGUGAUCAUUUAAGUCCAGCCAAAGAGUUGGGAGGUUUCUGUGCUGUUGCAUAAAGGGGGGGACUGAGGCUCAGGGACUCAAGCUCACAGAAGCAAGGGGGUAAAACCUGGACUGAACUCAGCCCUCCCACUCUAAUUUCUUGCCCCUUCUGUUGGGUCAGCUGCUGUUAGGAGUCAUGAUAGUAGGUCCUCAGAGUGUCUGUGUUCUUGUCAACUUAAAAAGACUGGCAUUUCUACGGUUACUGCAGGUGGGUGCCUGACUCUCUGUGGGUUCUGUGUGGUCUGUUUAGUGAUGUGAUGCAUGCUUCAUUUCUAGGUCUUCAUCGCUGAGCCCAAAGGCCCCAGCUUUGCUUAUUCAUUUCUGACGUGACUGCGGCUGCCUUCAUUCUGGGUCUUUCUUGCCUGAGCUUCCUGGAUUUGAGAUCUUCCUGGUGGCUACCUCUUCUUUGUACACAAGGAAGAUGAGAGUGAAUUUCAAGCAUCUUUGGUGGGAAAAUUUGCGCUUGAAGGCCAACUGCAAAUGUGUUUGUGCAGCACCCAUGAAAACACCUGUCACUUAGGGACAAGUGAAUUUGACAUCAUACGACUCCCAACAAAGAGCAAUAGCCCAGGUCUCCUGUUUACUCUCUUCAUGACACUAUGUGCGCUAGGAAUUCAGACACAACCAGCUGAAAACUCCUGCCUCUCUGUCCUCUAUUGCUCUCUCUCAGAAACUCUGGCCCUUGGUUUUCCAGCCAUCAGCAUGACUAACCCACCAUCACCUCAGACUCCAAAUUUCAAAGACAAUCCUAUUUUCCCCUUCUGAAUUGUUCCCCUUUCUAACAUUUUUACAUCUGCUUAAUGGUUCCAUCCCCCAAACAAACAUCCUUGUUCACUCUUCUCUCCUCUGCUCUUUAUGUUCAAUUUCUUACCACGAGACAGGAGGCAGGAACAGAGAUGGAGAGACCAGGAAGGGAAUACACAUUUUUUCGUGCUCAUCCUAAAGAGUCAGACAUGUGCUGCAUGCUAACUCAUUGAUCUCAGUAAUCCUGCGAGGUAGGCUCAGUGUCACUCUUCUAACUAUAGGUGGAAGAUGGAGGCUCACAACAAUUCAGGGCCUUCAGGUCACGCAGAUAUGAGGUGGGAAUCCAGCCUGUGCUCUGUGCACUACACUAGACCAUUUAGCCUUUCAUGGCUAAAUGUUCUUUCGUGGCUUCCAAAUUUGCUACUUCUUUUUUUCUACCACCACCCCAGGUCAGGCCUUCACCACCUUCUUCCUCAAUGGCUACAAUUGCUUGCCAGCCAUUCCCUGUCUACUCUUUUCUGCUCUAAUUUGCCCAUGUCUGACUGCUUUCUAUUUACCUUAUGUCCCCCGUUGAUCUGGUCCAGUGCCAGGUUUGGGCAGGGAUUCAGGAUAUUUAGUCAAUAGAGUGAUCUGGGCCAGACUCAAUAGGAAAUUUAUUUUUCAAGCAUCUAAAUAUGAUUUUUGAUUAGACUAGGUCUCACCUGCUGGGUCUGUGCCUUGAAAGGAUGAGAAGUAGCAAAAUCAUAACAGAUAUAGACUAGGUUAAUAAUACAGCUGGCCUUUUACCAUCCUUGUUAAUGGAGAAUGAGGACAGGACUUAACAUGGGGAGAUCAUAGCUAAUCUACAAAGCUUAUCAUAGAUGAUAACAUUAAUCUUCUCCCCUGAUAAGUCUGCAGCCAACUGUUUUUCUCUACCUCUGUACAGCUUCAGAUGGAGAUAAAUAAGUCCCAGGCACUAAUUACCUUACACACUAAAUCCUUCAGCCUAAAUGGGAGUUUGUAAAAGCCACAAGUAAAGGAAUUACUGCAUUCUCAGGAGGCUUUGAUGAAGAAAAGUAACUAUCUUCAGCUUAGCCUGAUGGUGGAACAAAACCUCAAGAUGUAGCUUUCAGGGGGAAGGUGGAUUUUAUAGAGUGGAGUUCUACAUGCUUAUCUUAUGUGGCAUAUAGGGAAGUGUACAAGUUCAUAUCACAGAUAUUUCCUUUACCAACCUGCGUUUAGAUCAAAAGAGUAUAGUGUUAGCAGGUCCUAAUAAAAUAUGGUAAAUAUCUUGCACAACUGACCAUUUUCUAAGUAACAGAUAUGAAAAUCACACCUGAUUCUUCUCUUUUGACAAGACAGUAUCACUGUCAGGGGUCCACUAGCUCCCACACUCCCUCCCACUAUGCAGUUUAAAAUAUUUUGAUCAGUAUGCCCAUUUGUUCAAUAUAUUUGUUACAUAGCUGACUUCUCAAUCACAAUAUACAGCAAAGAUGUAUAUGAAAAUCUAGUCAGAUAAGAAGAGUAGCUAGACUCAGCAUUUAAAGUUCCUUCUCAUUGAGAACAAAUUGGUGUAAUGUCUUUGUAGUGUCAUUGCAAGUGAUUCAAAUUUAAAAUACAAACAUUCUUAGACCUAACAGUUCCACUUCUAGGUUUGUUUUUUUUAAAUAAAUAGCAAC
rnacentral:lncRNA from 1 species